GAAAUGCGAUAAGUAAUGUGAAUUGCAGAAUUCAGUGAAUCAUCGAAUCUUUGAACGCACCUUGCGCUCCUCGGUAUUCCUUGGAGCAUGCCUGUUUGAGUAUCAUGAAAUCUUCAAAGUAAAUCUUUUGUUAACUCAAUUGGUUUCUACUUUGGUAUUGGAGGUCUUUGCAGCUUCACACCUGCUCCUCUUUGUUCAUUAGCUGGAUCUCAGUGUUAUGCUUGGUUCCACUCGGCGUGAUAAGUUAUCUAUCGCUGAGGACACUGUAAAAGGUGGCCAAGGUAAAUGCAGAUGAACCGCUUCUAAUAGUCCAUUGACUUGGACAAUACUUUUAUGAUCUGAUCUCAAAUCAGGUAGGACUACCCGCUGAACUUAAGC
rnacentral:misc_RNA from 1 species